rnacentral:lncRNA from 1 species
GAAGAGGCUCGGAAACAGGAAAAGUGUGGUUUUCACCUCUGCUCGGGCUACCACAGAGGCAUGAACUCUGUCUCGAGAUGCUGCAGAUAUGGAUGCCUUCCUCUCAUACCUGUCAGGGAGCCUCUCUAAGAGGGUACAGGCACCGGACUACCAGUCAUAGGCAGGUUCAUUCAGGUAUAGAGAGAUACCACCUCUCUAUACACGAAUACCAGAGAAGCGAGGACCCCAGUUCUUCAAGAAAGGGCUGAGUCUUUGGCCUUUCAAAGCUGUAGAUCAGGAGAUCCCUGUUUUAGUGUUUAGUUAUGAAGAAGCUGAGGACAAGCUCUGCCGCCCUUCGCCUCACACUGUCAUGUUCCCUCCCACAUAUACACCUUGUAGUUUUUCCCUCUAGGAAAAAAGGGCUGCUAAUAGGGUUUUAAUUAUUUUUUGCUCAAUAUAUGUUUGAAAAUUAAAAGGUUUUGACCUUAA